rnacentral:tRNA from 1 species
GCCGAUGUAGCUCAGCUGGCCAGAGCAGCUGAUUUGUAAUCAGCAGGUCGGGGGUUCGAAUCCGUCCAUCGGCUCAA